CAAAAUGUGUCACUCAUAUCGCGGCGAUGCGUGACAUUUCGUGUUUGUUAUGCAUAUUUCAAGAAGGUCUCCUCGCCUUUUUC
ensembl:ncRNA T19D12.13 ncRNA